GGGUUGUGAGGUUAAGCGACUAAGCGUACACGGUGGAUGCCCUGGCAGUCAGAGGCGAUGAAGGACGUGCUAAUCUGCGAUAAGCGUCGGUAAGGUGAUAUGAACCGUUAUAACCGGCGAUUUCCGAAUGGGGAAACCCAGUGUGAUUCGUCACACUAUCAUUAACUGAAUCCAUAGGUUAAUGAGGCGAACCGGGGGAACUGAAACAUCUAAGUACCCCGAGGAAAAGAAAUCAACCGAGAUUCCCCCAGUAGCGGCGAGCGAACGGGGAGCAGCCCAGAGCCUGAAUCAGUGUGUGUGUUAGUGGAAGCGUCUGGAAAGGCGCGCGAUACAGGGUGACAGCCCCGUACACAAAAAUGCACAUGCUGUGAGCUCGAUGAGUAGGGCGGGACACGUGGUAUCCUGUCUGAAUAUGGGGGGACCAUCCUCCAAGGCUAAAUACUCCUGACUGACCGAUAGUGAACCAGUACCGUGAGGGAAAGGCGAAAAGAACCCCGGCGAGGGGAGUGAAAAAGAACCUGAAACCGUGUACGUACAAGCAGUGGGAGCACAGAGCAAUCUGUGUGACUGCGUACCUUUUGUAUAAUGGGUCAGCGACUUAUAUUCUGUAGCAAGGUUAACCGAAUAGGGGAGCCGAAGGGAAACCGAGUCUUAACUGGGCGUUAAGUUGCAGGGUAUAGACCCGAAACCCGGUGAUCUAGCCAUGGGCAGGUUGAAGGUUGGGUAACACUAACUGGAGGACCGAACCGACUAAUGUUGAAAAAUUAGCGGAUGACUUGUGGCUGGGGGUGAAAGGCCAAUCAAACCGGGAGAUAGCUGGUUCUCCCCGAAAGCUAUUUAGGUAGCGCCUCGUGAAUUCAUCUCCGGGGGUAGAGCACUGUUUCGGCAAGGGGGUCAUCCCGACUUACCAACCCGAUGCAAACUGCGAAUACCGGAGAAUGUUAUCACGGGAGACACACGGCGGGUGCUAACGUCCGUCGUGAAGAGGGAAACAACCCAGACCGCCAGCUAAGGUCCCAAAGUCAUGGUUAAGUGGGAAACGAUGUGGGAAGGCCCAGACAGCCAGGAUGUUGGCUUAGAAGCAGCCAUCAUUUAAAGAAAGCGUAAUAGCUCACUGGUCGAGUCGGCCUGCGCGGAAGAUGUAACGGGGCUAAACCAUGCACCGAAGCUGCGGCAGCGACGCUUAUGCGUUGUUGGGUAGGGGAGCGUUCUGUAAGCCUGCGAAGGUGUGCUGUGAGGCAUGCUGGAGGUAUCAGAAGUGCGAAUGCUGACAUAAGUAACGAUAAAGCGGGUGAAAAGCCCGCUCGCCGGAAGACCAAGGGUUCCUGUCCAACGUUAAUCGGGGCAGGGUGAGUCGACCCCUAAGGCGAGGCCGAAAGGCGUAGUCGAUGGGAAACAGGUUAAUAUUCCUGUACUUGGUGUUACUGCGAAGGGGGGACGGAGAAGGCUAUGUUGGCCGGGCGACGGUUGUCCCGGUUUAAGCGUGUAGGCUGGUUUUCCAGGCAAAUCCGGAAAAUCAAGGCUGAGGCGUGAUGACGAGGCACUACGGUGCUGAAGCAACAAAUGCCCUGCUUCCAGGAAAAGCCUCUAAGCAUCAGGUAACAUCAAAUCGUACCCCAAACCGACACAGGUGGUCAGGUAGAGAAUACCAAGGCGCUUGAGAGAACUCGGGUGAAGGAACUAGGCAAAAUGGUGCCGUAACUUCGGGAGAAGGCACGCUGAUAUGUAGGUGAAGCGACUUGCUCGUGGAGCUGAAAUCAGUCGAAGAUACCAGCUGGCUGCAACUGUUUAUUAAAAACACAGCACUGUGCAAACACGAAAGUGGACGUAUACGGUGUGACGCCUGCCCGGUGCCGGAAGGUUAAUUGAUGGGGUUAGCGCAAGCGAAGCUCUUGAUCGAAGCCCCGGUAAACGGCGGCCGUAACUAUAACGGUCCUAAGGUAGCGAAAUUCCUUGUCGGGUAAGUUCCGACCUGCACGAAUGGCGUAAUGAUGGCCAGGCUGUCUCCACCCGAGACUCAGUGAAAUUGAACUCGCUGUGAAGAUGCAGUGUACCCGCGGCAAGACGGAAAGACCCCGUGAACCUUUACUAUAGCUUGACACUGAACAUUGAGCCUUGAUGUGUAGGAUAGGUGGGAGGCUUGGAAGUGUGGACGCCAGUCUGCAUGGAGCCGACCUUGAAAUACCACCCUUUAAUGUUUGAUGUUCUAACGUUGACCCGUAAUCCGGGUUGCGGACAGUGUCUGGUGGGUAGUUUGACUGGGGCGGUCUCCUCCUAAAGAGUAACGGAGGAGCACGAAGGUUGGCUAAUCCUGGUCGGACAUCAGGAGGUUAGUGCAAUGGCAUAAGCCAGCUUGACUGCGAGCGUGACGGCGCGAGCAGGUGCGAAAGCAGGUCAUAGUGAUCCGGUGGUUCUGAAUGGAAGGGCCAUCGCUCAACGGAUAAAAGGUACUCCGGGGAUAACAGGCUGAUACCGCCCAAGAGUUCAUAUCGACGGCGGUGUUUGGCACCUCGAUGUCGGCUCAUCACAUCCUGGGGCUGAAGUAGGUCCCAAGGGUAUGGCUGUUCGCCAUUUAAAGUGGUACGCGAGCUGGGUUUAGAACGUCGUGAGACAGUUCGGUCCCUAUCUGCCGUGGGCGCUGGAGAACUGAGGGGGGCUGCUCCUAGUACGAGAGGACCGGAGUGGACGCAUCACUGGUGUUCGGGUUGUCAUGCCAAUGGCACUGCCCGGUAGCUAAAUGCGGAAGAGAUAAGUGCUGAAAGCAUCUAAGCACGAAACUUGCCCCGAGAUGAGUUCUCCCUGACUCCUUGAGAGUCCUGAAGGAACGUUGAAGACGACGACGUUGAUAGGCCGGGUGUGUAAGCGCAGCGAUGCGUUGAGCUAACCGGUACUAAUGAACCGUGAGGCUUAACCUUACAACGCCGAAG
rnacentral:rRNA from 1 species